UGCCUCUGCAACCCCAUGGUCC
rnacentral:miRNA from 1 species